rnacentral:rRNA from 1 species
AUUGAACGCUGGCGGCAUGCUUUACACAUGCAAGUCGAACGGCAGCACGGGGGCAACCCUGGUGGCGAGUGGCGAACGGGUGAGUAAUACAUCGGAACGUGUCCUGUGGUGGGGGAUAACCUGGCGAAAGCCAGGCUAAUACCGCAUGAGCUCGUAAGAGGAAAGCAGGGGACCGGUAACGGCCUUGCGCUGCAGGAGCGGCCGAUGUCCGAUUAGCUAGUAGGUAGGGUAAAGGCCUACCUAGGCGACGAUCGGUAGCUGGUCUGAGAGGAUGAUCAGCCACACUGGGACUGAGACACGGCCCAGACUCCUACGGGAGGCAGCAGUGGGGAAUUUUGGACAAUGGGGGCAACCCUGAUCCAGCCAUGCCGCGUGGGUGAAGAAGGCCUUCGGGUUGUAAAGCUCUUUCGGUGGGAACGAAACGGUUACAACUAAUACUUGUGACUACUGACG